rnacentral:rRNA from 1 species
GAUGAACGCUGGCGGCGUGCCUAAUACAUGCAAGUCGAGCGAACGGACGAGAAGCUUGCUUCUCUGAUGUUAGCGGCGGACGGGUGAGUAACACGUGGAUAACCUACCUAUAAGACUGGGAUAACUUCGGGAAACCGGAGCUAAUACCGGAUGAUAUUUUGAACCGCAUGGUUCAAAAGUGAAAGACGGUCUUGCUGUCACUUAUAGAUGGAUCCGCGCUGCAUUAGCUAGUUGGUAAGGUAACGGCUUACCAAGGCAACGAUGCAUAGCCGACCUGAGAGGGUGAUCGGCCACACUGGAACCGAGACACGGUCCAGACUCCUACGGGAGGCAGCAGUAGGGAAUCUUCCGCAAUGGGCGAAAGCCUGACGGAGCAACGCCGCGCGAGUGAUGAAGGUCUUCGGAUCGUAAAACUCUGUUAUUAGGGAAGAACAUAUGUGUAAGUAACUGUGCACAUCUUGACGGUACCUAAUCAGAAAGCCACGGCUAACUACGUG